UUCUUCCGCUUUCUUUCGAUAGCAAUCAGAAUGAUGUAGAUAUUAUGCGAAUUUUCGAAAUACAGGAUAGUAGAAUACUCGAAACAAGUGUAACUCCUCGAAGUCGUCGUCAUUGCAAUGUCGUAGUCACUGUGACAAACACGUUGAAGAGGGGACAGGGUUAAGGGACUACCAAACGGGUUGGUUCUCGACGCGCGACUCUUCAUCCGAGGGGACUUCCCGGCUGCCGUUCGGAUUUUCGUUUAAAAGCGGACGCGGCAUCAUGAUGUAUCCAGUUUUACUUUUGACACACGCUGUAAAGGUGUCAAUUAUGAUGAGGUUGUCCUCUUACUACAUUCACUUGUCAGCGUUAUAUGUACUCCUCUUUGGUUUCCUCGAGCAUGCGGUGCUUGCCAUUCCCAUUGACAACACGAAUUUCAUCAAUGCAACCGAGUCUCGGUGUCCAGAGUGCCCAAGAAUUGUCAGUCGAAAGGAAUGGAAUGCCAGGAAACGUCUCCAUUUCGAGAUUAUGCCAAUAAAACCAGCACCAUACGUGGUGGUCCAUCAUGGCGGUAUACCUAGGUACUGUCGGGAUCAGGAGACGUGCUCUGAUAUCGUUAGAGCCUAUCAAGAUUUGCAUCUGGAUCAGCGAGGCUGGUACGACAUUGGAUAUAAUUUCGUCAUUGGCGAAGACGGUAAUGUUUACGAGGGUCGCGGUUGGGAUUAUAUUGGCGCGCAUGCAAUUGGAUACAAUACCCAGAGUAUUGGCAUAUGCAUCAUAGGAGACUUCACCGACUUUCUUCCGGACGAGAUCGCCCUGAAGACGUUGAACAAGCUGAUAGCUUAUGGGGUUUCACUCGGCAAGAUAAGGAAGAACUACAACGUGAUUGGUCAUCGACAAGUGCGAGACACGGAAUGUCCAGGCGAAAUUUUUUUCAAAAAAUUCGUAAUUAAUCUUCCCGGUUGGACUGCAAAUCCAAAACCUCACAUAUGUCCAACCACAACAAUAAAGUCGAUAGAUAAUACCGUAGAGGAAAACAGCAAAGCGAAUGUUAUUCUAUGAUAAUAUUUCUAGGUCCUUGUCAAAUAUAUCAGCCGUAAUUAUAACGAAUCUUAGUUAACCUAACAAAGGAUUAUAUUGGAUAUAACCAUUGCUACCUCUACUAUUAUCAUUACAAAAUAUUCUCACUGCCGAACAGUUAAAAAAAAACCGCCUUUCUCUGUCUCGCGAAGGUGAUUCCCUGAUAUACACAGUGACCUCGUAUACUAGACUCUCCGUAUUAACAUAUAUACGUCAUAGCAAUUAAGACACUAUCAAUAAAAAAUUAUCAUUAGUCAAAACUCAAAGUUUACACGUAAUGUACACGUUUCAGAUCGUUAAAAAAUCAAACAAGACAUUCUAAAGUAUAUGACAUAAAUAUCUCUCACGCAAGUUCGGCAAACAAGAUCAAUGUCACUCUCACCUUGGUUCGCGUGCGAGCCGUUCUUUUACAUGGCUAUGCUCGUUGCAAUAAUAUAUGCUCUAAGGUCAUGGUCUUCAGGUUUAAUUAACGACAAUAGUAAUCGAAAUAACACGAUGCCGUACAAUUGUCUUUCGCAUAAUUUCGUAUGGAUUACUCUGAUAAAAUCAUCUCCAGUACUCUGUUCCAUAAUGUAUAUGUAAAUACAUAUGGAACAUGUAUAAUGUAUGACCGCGAAUUUCACGGACAUUAAAAUGAUUGAAUUAAUAUUGAUGCUAUUAUAAACGAGAGGAUCGUACAUAUAUAUUUCAGAAAAAAGAUUUUAUGAUUAACAAAUUAACAAAACCACUUUUUUGGAAUUUGCGUUACACAUAUAUAUCUGUUGAACUGACCUGCAUACUGCAUUCUUCACUCUCAUUUGUCAGCCGACAAUGACGGGCGAUUUAAAUACUUCCGGUAGUAAAUCUGCAAAAAAAAUCAUUAAUUUACUGUUAGUCAAUUACAAAGAUUAUCUCUUGAGAACGCUCAUAAAAAUACCAUUUUGACGGACACAUGAAAUCGAUAAGAUAAUCGUGUAUAGUGUAAUAUUAUCGCAACUUCAUUAUCAUAUACUGUUUUUCGAGCAAAGUUCAGAAAGAUCAGAUGAGAUAAGAGUUCAAGUUAGAUUUUCAUAAUGCGUUUCGCUGCAUGUACUAAUCCAAAGAUUUGAUUAAAGCGUGAGCAAAUCGAAACGUUAGUACGCGUUUAUCAACGAUUUCACGUUAUCUUACUAGUAGGUUAAUUUGUGUAAUUAAUGACGGUUAUUGUUCCUUAAA